GACAGGGUUGGAGGAGUUCAAUAUCAGGACCUGUCAUUGUACAAUACAAUGCAACCGACAUCAUGUAGGUGUUUACAGGCCUCAGGUGUAGGUGCAAAAUAUGUCAAGAUGAUCUUCUUGUCCUGCAGACAGUGAAGCCAAACGGAGUGAAGGCCAGGAAGGCAGGGUUCCCUGACACAUCCUGACACAGACACAACACAAGUAUUGAAUCCAUGGUCUAUGUUGUUGUACAGAUGUCGGAUCUUAACUUGAUCACUCUUUUGUCGCAGAGAAUUUUCCUGCUACAUCAGGAAAUUCAAAUGAGCCUUGUGAGUCCCUGAAAAAUAGCAGUUGAGUCAAUGGGAUCAGGACAUGCUAUCAAAAUUAUUUUCUCACUCGCUCAAACGCUAGGUCUAGGUCCUAUUACUGCAACAUUCAAAUGUACCAAAAUGUAUUUGAAAUGCAACCAUACACAUCAACAACCAACAUUUUAUAUAGCUUAACAACACAAGAUAGAUAUUGGUCUCCACUAGGCUACGACAUACAGUACAAGAGUCAACUAUAUCCUAAGCUUAUGAAUGAACUGUCAAAAUUGAGUUAAAUCGCAGGCUGCGUCCAUUUAUUAUAAUCCACACCAGACACGCUGUAGCCGGCACGUAGCCUACAUAAGGUACCCUGUAGGUAAGGUACUGUGUUGUAUACAAACACAGCUUCCAGCUGUCCCCUGGCGGCGGUUUUAAAUAUUUAUUCAUUAUUCAAAUCCUCCUGCUGCAGGAUUAUUUUCCUCCUGCGACAAAAGGUGUCAAAUUAAGAUCCGACAUCUGUAUGUAAUUUACAACUGGCCUCACAAACAGAAUAGCAAAAAAACAAAAAAACAUAUUGUAUUAAACGAGGUUCAGGCUGUACUGGAAUCAAUAGAGAGCUAAAAGCACUCUGCCAGUGCAGAGCUAAAAUGGACCCUUCUCUUAUCAAGGUGUUUGUACCUUGCAGGGGUGAGGGUCCACACCAUACGUCUCCAGCUCCUGGGCCUUCUGCAGGAAGUUCAGCUCGGACUCUUCUGGAGUCUGUCCUCUGGGAGAUGAGGACACAACAGACAGAUUACUGUGGGCUGUGUGGUGAUGGAUGGAAAAGGUUCCAGCGGUGAGCUAAUGAUUUGUAAAGUGAAUUUCCUUUCAUUCAUUUCAGUGAGUGAAAGAUGAGAGAGAACAACACUAGAGGGCAGCAGAGGUAAGAUCCCAUAGGUGGUCUACAGUAGUAGAGUCUGUAUAUAUGGAUACUGCAUAUACUGUGAAGGGGGAGGGGAGAGAGAGAGCCUCUUGAGGGUGAUGUGAUGUUCAGCUGACUGGCAGAGUUGUCCCAGGUUGCC